AAAUUGAAGAGUUUGAUCAUGGCUCAGAUUGAAUGCUGGCGGCAGGCCUAACACAUGCAAGUCGAACGGUAACAGGAAACAGCUUGCUGUUUCGCUGACGAGUGGCGGACGGGUGAGUAAUGUCUGGGAAACUGCCUGAUGGAGGGGGAUAACUACUGGAAACGGUAGCUAAUACCGCAUAACGUCGCAAGACCAAAGAGGGGGACCUUCGGGCCU
rnacentral:rRNA from 1 species